rnacentral:rRNA from 1 species
GGCAGCACGGGAGCUUGCUCCUGGUGGCGAGUGGCGAACGGGUGAGUAAUAUAUCGGAACGUGCCCUAGAGUGGGGGAUAACUAGUCGAAAGAUUAGCUAAUACCGCAUACGAUCUACGGAUGAAAGUGGGGGAUCGCAAGACCUCAUGCUCAUGGAGCGGCCGAUAUCUGAUUAGCUAGUUGGUGGGGUAAAAGCUCACCAAGGCGACGAUCAGUAGCUGGUCUGAGAGGACGACCAGCCACACUGGAACUGAGACACGGUCCAGACUCCUACGGGAGGCAGCAGUGGGGAAUUUUGGACAAUGGGCGCAAGCCUGAUCCAGCAAUGCCGCGUGAGUGAAGAAGGCCUUCGGGUUGUAAAGCUCUUUUGUCAGGGAAGAAACGGUCUUGGUUAAUACCUGGGGCUAAUGACGGUACCUGAAGAAUAAGCACCGGCUAACUACGUGCCAGCAGCCGCGGUAAUACGUAGGGUGCAAGCGUUAAUCGGAAUUACUGGGCGUAAAGCGUGCGCAGGCGGUUAUACAAGACAGAUGUGAAAUCCCCGGGCUCAACCUGGGAAUUGCAUUUGUGACUGUAUGGCUAGAGUGUGUCAGAGGGGGGUAGAAUUCCACGUGUAGCAGUGAAAUGCGUAGAUAUGUGGAGGAAUACCGAUGGCGAAGGCAGCCCCCUGGGAUAACACUGACGCUCAUGCACGAAAGCGUGGGGAGCAAACAGGAUUAGAUACCCUGGUAGUCCACGCCCUAAACGAUG